rnacentral:piRNA from 1 species
UGGCACUAACUUCAUUUUGGUUUCUAGAC